GUCGGGAGGGCGGCUAAUACAACAACCCGCAAGGGGAAUACGCCCGCCGGCUUUGCGCGGUUUAGAGCCUCCCGACACCCCGCC
rnacentral:ncRNA from 1 species